AGUGAACGCUGGCGGUAGGCCUAACACAUGCAAGUCGAACGGCAGCACAGUAAGAGCUUGCUCUUACGGGUGGCGAGUGGCGGACGGGUGAGGAAUACAUCGGAAUCUACUUUUUCGUGGGGGAUAACGUAGGGAAACUUACGCUAAUACCGCAUACGACCUACGGGUGAAAGCAGGGGAUCUUCGGACCUUGCGCGAUUGAAUGAGCCGAUGUCGGAUUAGCUAGUUGGCGGGGUAAAGGCCCACCAAGGCGACGAUCCGUAGCUGGUCUGAGAGGAUGAUCAGCCACACUGGAACUGAGACACGGUCCAGACUCCUACGGGAGGCAGCAGUGGGGAAUACUGGACAAUGGGCGCAAGCCUGAUCCAGCCAUACCGCGUGGGUGAAGUAGGCCUUCGGGUUGUAAAGCCCUUUUGUUGGGAAAGAAAAGCAGCAGGUUAAUACCCCGCUGUUCUGACGGUACCCAAAGAAUAAGCACCGGCUAACUUCGUG
rnacentral:rRNA from 1 species